rnacentral:rRNA from 2 species
UACGUAGGGUGCGAGCGUUAAUCGGAAUUACUGGGCGUAAAGCGGGCGCAGACGGUUACUUAAGCAGGAUGUGAAAUCCCCGGGCUCAACCUGGGAAUUGCGUUCUGAACUGGGUGGCUAGAGUGUGUCAGAGGGGGGUAGAAUUCCACGUGUAGCAGUGAAAUGCGUAGAGAUGUGGAGGAAUACCGAUGGCGAAGGCAGCCCCCUGGGAUGGCACUGACGUUCAUGCCCGAAAGCGUGGGUAGCAAACAGG